AACCUCAGACUCUUCUGAUUCUGAAGUGAUUAUAACAAGCAGAAGUACUAAAGAAUUUAAUUUGGCUGAUACAGUACCAUUUAGACCCAACUUGCACAGCACCAGUGAUCAUGGCAGGGAAUCUUCAGACUUGGAUUCAGCAACUCCGAUCUUACUUUCUGGUGGAGAACAGGACCCAGAAAAUACAAUGGAUGCAAUAGGAACUACGUGCUAUAGAUUCAAGAAUGGACUUGCUACUUUGCAGUUUUUAACAGCCCUGCAGCAAUAUCCUAUGGCGCUGACUCCUGUCUUGUGCCAUUCUGAGAGAAAGUUAUCUGCUGGGGACAUUGAAAAUCUCUUCCGACCAGAGCUUAGUCCAGAUGGCAGCAACCGGAGAGCCCAGGAGAACAAAACAACAAGUUUCUGGGCCGACAACCUUCUUGACUGUGAAGAAAAUAACAGUGAGGUGACCCUGGAGGAUGUACUUAUGUUUGCAACAGGUGUGCCAUCUAUUCCUCCUGCUGGUAUGGACCCUCUGCCACGUCUUGAAUAUAUUUACACCUCAAAAUUCCCCAUGGCAAAUACAUGUGCCAACACUUUAAAGCUGCCCCUCUUGGACAGCUACAUUACAUUUAAGCACAACUUGAACUUUGGGAUUAAGAAUUCCCCUGGCUUUGGAUGCCUUUAGUCA